GGUGACCAGACGCAGCGUCAAGCCCUGACUUGCUGCUCGGCAACCCUCACGUCGCAAGACCGGGUGCCCCAGGUGAUCACUCGAUCCGGUCCUCCGGAUCAGCACGACGA
rnacentral:ncRNA from 2 species